rnacentral:rRNA from 1 species
UACGUAGGGUCCAAGCGUUUGUCCGGAAUUAUUGGGCGUAAAGAGCUCGUAGGCGGUCUGUUGCGUCCGCUGUGAAAACUCGGGGCUUAACCCCGAGCCUGCAGUGGAUACGGGCAGACUAGAGGUAGGUAGGGGAGAAUGGAAUUCCCGGUGUAGCGGUGAAAUGCGCAGAUAUCAGGAAGAACACCCGUGGCGAAGGCGGCUCUCUGGGACGGUACUGACGCUGAGACGCGAAAGCGUGGGGAGCGAACAGG